rnacentral:rRNA from 1 species
AAGUGGAUUGUACUAGAAGUCUGCACGCCAACCCGCAAGGGGGGCAGCGGCCCAAGGUAUGAUUCAUGAUUGGGGUGAAGUCGUAACAAGGUAGCCGUAGGAGAACCUGCGGCUGGAUCACCUCCUUUCUAAG